CAAAUUAGUUUUGAUUUUUUUGUGAAAAUUGUCAGAAAGAAAUUAUUUUCUUUGGUAAAAAGCAAAAUCACGCGAAUUUAGGACCCAUUUCUGGACCGAACUCUUAAGAUUGGAAGCAUCAAUAAAGUUUCAGGAAUUCAAUAGAUGUGUAGUCUUAGUGGAAGAGAUGCAGAAGCUUAAAUAAGGGAGAAGAAAGCGUCAGGGUAUCAAGGCCACAUGAGGCAGUGACUACUGGGAUGUCCAUCAAGAAAAAAAAUGUGAAAAAUGAUUAAAAAUUAAAAAAAAUAUUAUUUUAUACCAUUACAAGAAUUAGCUUAAUAUAAUAUUAUUUUCGUAAGCUUA